rnacentral:rRNA from 1 species
AGAGUUUGAUCCUGGCUCAGAGUGAACGCUGGCGGCAGGCCUAACACAUGCAAGUCGAGCGGCAGCGCAGUGGUAGCAAUACCAUGGGCGGCGAGCGGCGGACGGGUGAGGAACACAUCGGAAUCUACCCUGUCGUGGGGGACAACGUAGGGAAACUUACGCUAAUACCGCAUACGACCUUUGGGUGAAAGCGGGGGACUCGCAAGAGCCUCGCGCGAUUGGAUGAGCCGAUGUCCGAUUAGCUAGUUGGCGGGGUAAUGGCCCACCAAGGCGACGAUCGGUAGCUGGUCUGAGAGGACGACCAGCCACACUGGAACUGAGACACGGUCCAGACUCCUACGGGAGGCAGCAGUGGGGAAUAUUGGACAAUGGGGGCAACCCUGAUCCAGCCAUGCCGCGUGGGUGAAGAAGGCCUUCGGGUUGUAAAGCCCUUUUGUACGGGAAGAAAAGCUUCUGGUUAAUAACCGGGAGUGAUGACGGUACCGUAAGAAUAAGCACCGGCUAACUUCGUGCCAGCAGCCGCGGUAAUACGAAGGGUGCAAGCGUUACUCGGAAUUACUGGGCGUAAAGCGUGCGUAGGCGGUAUGUUAAGUCUGAUGUGAAAUCCCCGGGCUCAACCUGGGAAUGGCAUUGGAUACUGGCAGGCUAGAGUACGGUA